rnacentral:lncRNA from 1 species
UGGAGAUUGUGCUUUACCAAAGUGAGGAACAAACCCAAACUGGAAAAGCAUGGGAUACAGGCAAUAGGAAAUUGCGUGGAGGACACAGAUGAAAGGGAUUCCUAUGAAGACUGAGCUCCAGGAUGGCAGUUGCAGAGUAGUCAGGAGUGACAGGAGCUAGAGACAAAGGAAUUAAAGUGGGGAAGCAUCUAGAAGAAAAAAAAUGAAAAGAAAAAGAAACUGAUAGAUUAUCUUAGAGUCCAACUCUAUUCAAGGGAGUAUCACAAUUCUACCAAAGAAUUUAGGGAGAAAUUCCUAAUAAGCAUAAAAAACUAAGCAACAACAAAAAAUAAGCUAUUACUAAUGAAAAAAAGAAACCCACAAAAGGUUACAUAAACAUGUUACCAUAGUACACUAUAUGACUCAGCUUUAAAUUUAGCCAGAAUAUUGUUAGACGAUUAUGUUGGGAGGAUGAGAGGAAGGACAAAGUGGGGGCAUGGGAGGAAUGCAGCCAGAGGGGUAUGGUAAGAAAGCUAAAUUCUCAUCAGCCCCAGAAGAAAACCAGUAGAAAGUGACUACACUUGAAACGAAAUGAAAUAACUGCACUUGCAUAUUAUUUAGGAACAUGAAAGUAAAUCACAAACAGUUGAAAGUGUUUAGACUCAGAGUGGAGAGGGGUAGAGAGAGGACUGAUAUUUUUAUUGUUGUAUUGACUUCUACAUUACAUACAUAAAGUAUUUCAGCACUAUGCUGAAGCAAUUUUUAAAAUUUCAGAAGACCAGGUGCGGUGGCUCACCCCCAUCUAAGUGUUUAAUCUAAGGACAUCUAUCAUAUCCCAGGGACUUUCAAUAGCCACUUCUUCCCCCAUAUUCCUCCCAUUCCCGAUACAUUUCUUCUCUAAACAAAACAUCCUGGGUCUUUCACCUAACCCCAUGGACAUACUCCAAAUCUCUAAUUUCCCGAGCAGCUUCAUAUCUGAGCAUGUUCCUUUAAGCAUGGUACACAGAUGGAAACAUUCCGGGUAUGAAGAAAUUAAACUCUCUCUUCUCUACAUUCUCUACCUCUACCACUUGGAAGAGGCUGAAGAUACUGCACAUAUGGACUUGAAGGCAUAAGGGCCUGCAUUUUAAGUCACUGGUGUGGUCUCAAUGUGUCCCCCAAAAUUCAUGCUGGGAACUUAGUCUCGAAUGCAACAGUAUUGGGAGGCAGCGCCUAACGGGAAGUGUUUAAGUCCUAAGGACUGAGCCCUCAUGAAUGCAUUAUAGUGCCCUUAUAAAAUGGGCUUGUGGGAGUGGCUCUUUUCUAGUCUUCUGCCAUGUGAGGAUAUGACAUUCCUCCUCUCUGGAGGACAUAGCAAUGAGGCACCAUCUUGGACUUCCCAGCCUCCAAAACUGAGAAUAAAUUUCCAUUCUCUGUAAAUUACCAUCUCAGGUAUAGCAGCACAAAACAAAGACAGUGAUCAUCAUAGCUGAAAUGUUAUACAGGUUACUAAACCUCUCUGAGCCCAUUUCUGCAUUCUGUACAAUGGGUUUUACCUACUCUCUCACAGUAUGAGUAAAAAACCAGGUGUUUAUGAAGUGCCUGUUACAGCAGACUUUCUGUAAGAGGUAACUGACAUUAACAGUGUAAACUAAGACCAUAUUUCUCGGUAGCCAUGUAAUACUGUUUGUUCUUACUCAACUGUUACUCGGUAUUGAUCACAGUUUAGUUGCACAAAACAGAAUUCAUUCUGGUUAGUUUAGCAGGAAAACAUUUAAAAUUUAUUGACAACAGAAAUAUUU